GACGAACGCUGGCGGCAUGCCUAAUACAUGCAAGUCGAGCGAACAGAUGAAGUGCCUGCACUUCUGACGUUAGCGGCGAACGGGUGAGUAACACGUAGGAAUCCACCUAUAAGCGGGGGAUAACAUUCGGAAACGGGUGCUAAUACCGCAUAAUAUCUUCUUCCGCAUGGAAGAAGAUUGAAAGACGGCUCUGCUGUCACUUAUAGAUGACCUUGCGGUGCAUUAGUUAGUUGGUGGGGUAAUGGCCUACCAAGACGAUGAUGCAUAGCCGACCUGAGAGGGUGAUCGGCCACAUUGGGACUGAGACACGGCCCAAACUCCUACGGGAGGCAGCAGUAGGGAAUCUUCCGCAAUGGGCGAAAGCCUGACGGAGCAAUGCCGCGUGAGUGAAGAAGGCCUUCGGGUCGUAAAACUCUGUUAUAAGAGAAGAACAAAUUGUAGAGUAACUGCUACAGUCUUGACGGUAUCUUAUCAGAAAGCCACGGCUAACUACGUGCCAGCAGCCGCGGUAA
rnacentral:rRNA from 1 species